UUCUUUGUCUUCCUGCUCCUCCUCUUCAUCCAAUAUCUCUACCUCCCCGAUUCAAGCUUCCUGCCAAGCUCGCAACUACCAUCAAUGGCGCAUCCUUCUGAAAAUCCCCCAACCUUCGACAUCCACACCAUAAAUUUUGAUGGAUUCUUUGCCAUUUCCUUCUCCCUUCAAAGUCAUCAAACAAUAAUAUCAAUGUAGAAGUAAUUAGCACGUAAACACCAUACUCCUCUACGCUUGCACCCGCUGCUAUGACCCUGACCUAUCCCAUCUCUACUACAUGAUAUGCUUCAACUCCAACAGAUUUUCCCUUUAAUCCAGUGAGGCUCUCGUGGCGACCAUGUGCUCAGAGUGCCACUUUUGUCGCCAUGCAUCUUCGCUAGGGUGUCUCAAAUGUUUGCAUGAUACUCCCUUCGUGAACAGGCUUAUAUUUGUUUAUAGAGGGAGUACAUUAUUAGUUUUUUAGAGAUCCAUGAGUAUUUACUCCUAGUAAUAGCAAUUGGUAAUUUGGCAUAGUACAACCAUAAUCUUGGAGCCAUUUAUCAUUUUGAUAUAGGUAUUUGCUAUAGAUGCAAUUAUGAUGAAACAAUGUUAAGAAUUUGUAUAGAGUAACCCUAGCAAACUGAACGAAACAACAAGUCAAUCCCGUCCUCGCUGGAAUCAAUUCAUGCAUGAAGGAACAUCACAUAAAGUAAAUUGGAAUUGAAACUAACAACAAGCAAUGACAACAUGGAUGCUAUCUUAUUUCUUUGGGGUGGAUGGCAAGAGCACUCGCCCGGAUUCACGGAGCAGUCUUGACUGUGCAUAUCUAGCUAGAGAAACGUUGGGUCAAAGCAAAGGGUCUAGGUACCUUGAGCAAUUACACUCUUACGUUGACAAGUGCCCCACAAAACUGCUCACGACCAUCCUCCUCUAGGCCUUGUAAGCGUUUCGAAAUCCUCUCUGCUUCCCCAACACGAUGGCCGGCCACUGCAACUCCUCCAGAGGCAAUACAUGCGGCGUCGUCCCUGAGGCGUUCUCCUUUCUGCUCAUGCCUCUUGCUCAUUUUACCUAUUUCCUCUAAAAUUUUAUCCACUUCUCCAAGCAUGCACUGAAAACUGCAAAAAAUGUAGAACAAUGUACAUGUGUGAACUUGAGUAGUGGAAUCAAACCAACCUUCAUCAAUAGAUAUCUUUUGAACUAUGGUCCACUAUGUACAUCGUCCAUAUUAGCUCAUAAUGAAAACUAAAAUAAUGGUUAGCCUUUCCCAUAUGUUUUUCGAAGAACAAAAUAAGAAUUAUCACCACCUACAACCUGGAAGACUAAUCCCUCACAAAAAAGUUUGGCAUGUAGAUUAUGAUAUUAUCCUAGCUUAUAUAUGAUUCAAAUUUCAACCUUAUUCAGGCCAAUAUGAGUGGAUCUCAAGGAUCUCCACUGGACCAAUACUCAAUUAAGAACCCCAACAUCAGUCGAAACUAAACAUGAAAAUUUUGAACUCGCUGACUUUAUGUCAUUCCAGUGGUAAUAGUAGUACAUGUGCUGCUAGAAAAUGUAACACUCAGGGUGCAUAUAGAUACGCUAUUGUCUUGCUGAUAGAAAAUGUAGAGCCCAAGGUGCGUAUAGAUAUGCUAUUGUCUUGUUGUUAAAUAAACUGCUGUUAGCUAGAUCAAGAAAGCUAAGGUUUCCAGCAAUUCCAAUCUGCAAGCACAAUCAGACCUCAUAGCCUAAAUAAAAUUCAAUCUAACCAUCAGGAAGAACUCCUGAUUGCAGCUUUGAGAGAGAUCUAGUCCAUUUGUAAUUUGGCUAGAAAUAAAACCAAUCAAACUGGAAAACAUCACUUCAGGUUGGGAAUGCACUAUAUCUUGAUAUAAGCAUGCUUUUGGUUUGUAUGCCAGGCUCUGAGUUUGUAUUGAGAAAUAAAUUCAGAAAGAUGAACCUCAAUAUUUACAGGAGGAUUAUGCUCUUUUGCUGGACAUGACCCUUUUUUAGAAGAAGAAAACAUGUGUGUAUUAUUUCUGUAAUAAACAUGAAAGGAAAAUUUUCAAAAUGAUACAAUUGUAUCUUAUUUACCUUGUAGGAAAAUGUAGUUCCCAUAUUUUCCAAAAACAAAUCUCAAGUAGUCCAUCCAUAUCAGCUGAAAUAAAACCCUAAAACCAUUGCCAUGUCAGGAAUGUCGGUCAAGUAUGAUUAGAGAAUUAGGUAUAGAGGGCUUGAAACAUGAAAUAAAGUUGUGGAAGAAUCUGCAAACUGUAGUAAGUAGACAAAUUACUCUAGUUAGUAUGGGCAAAAUACAGAAAAAUGAAUCCAAUUAAUGACUAAGUGACACGAGUGAAGUCCUUCGAUAUAUAUCACCUUUUAUCAAUUUAUUUAGCGGAUACUAUGAGAGCAACUAUGAUAUUCCCCCUUUCGUCCCCACGGCCCAUCCUCUGACACCGGCCACGGUCGAUGUUGAGUGCCACCCUUCCCGAGCCGCCUUCUCCCUCGAUCCAUCGUUGCAGCCUGAUCCACCCUCCGGCACUGGUCGCGACCAGUGUCGAUGUGACGUGUCACCUUGCUAGAGCCGACUUCUCCAUGGGUCUAUAGAUGCCCUUUACCAUCCUCUAUUCCAUCCCCCUCUUCUAAAAUUCGGUGCUCGUUAUCGUCUUCUUCCUCCUUCCAGCCCCAUGACCCACCUUUUGACACUGGUUGCAUCCGGUUCCAAUGUCUUGUGUCGUCCUGCUCAAGCCGCCUUCUCGGACGAUCCACCGUUGCCCCCGACCAUACCACUAACAAAGACACACCCCUCCUUCCCAGACAAUGCUCGUGUGCAAUAGUUGGGGCACAUAUAUUUUCUCACUUCCCAACUUUGUGUGACAAAUAAGUCUUUAACUCCUUUAUCCUCAACAAGCCUUUCUUUCUCCCAAUUAUUUAGUUCAACCUACUCUGUCAUUUUAGUGAUUCUUUGAGGUGCCUUUGAAACCCCGAGAUUUAAGCUUGCAGUAAUCAUGUAUUGGAAACCUCUGACAAAAUACACAUUCCAUUGAACUUCUAUUUAGACCAGGUUGCACUAGAAAUUUUGGACAAUGUACCCAAUGCACAAUCAGAAUACUUACAACAGAGCAUUUAGAGAAAGAUCCAACUUUCAAACAUAGUCACCUCAUAGGACAUACAACAGAUCACUCAGAAUACAAACUGACCCACCAUGGUAGUAUGUCCUAUGCCGAAACAAAUUCCAUCCACAUGGUUUGCAAACAUUUGUCAAAAUAUAGGCAGCCAUUCAGACAAAGAUCGGUUACCAUUUUUAUGGUGGUCAAGAACAAUAAACUUUUUCUCAGGUAAAGCUAAAAGAAAUAAGCAUCUAUGUUUGUUCAUGUACAACAUGAGGUCUAUUCUUCUUUUCCUUAUGAACAACAAACAUCUUGCAAAACUUGAUGCUUAGAUUUAUUUUUUAUGCCCUACGCUAGUUCAUUAAUAUCUAUCUAUCUAUCUCUCAUGCAGAGAUCAGCCAAUAAAGAGGAAGUAAUUAUGCAGGUUUACAUAGAAUAUAAUUCAAAAUUUGGAUGCAUGUUUGUAAGAUUUAUGAGUGAUCGUUGUAAAUAUAGUAAUCCAAAAGCAACAAUUACAUAGGCCACGCUUCAUAUUAAAGGCAUUUUAUCAUUUGUUCACCUCGGAAACAGAUUCUUUGCCUCAUUUUUCUCAUGGCAAUGUUGUGAGGUGCUUCCAGGGUGAUCAUUAUCGGCGUAAUUCAUUAUCUAAGCUGAAUAAGCAGAUGAAUUGAAAAAUAAAUAGCUAGCCACAAGAGAGAGGCGUUUUGGAGGCCAUUUUUUUGAAAAAUUCAAAUUCAAAUUUUUAUGGUUCAAAAAAAUCUGAAAAAGAUAUGCAUAUAUCUAAGGAUGUAACCCACAUGUGUGUAAAAAUUCAUGAUGAAAUACCUUGAGUUUCGACCUGUACAAAAAAGACAAAUUCAUGGCCAGGGAGGAUGAAUAGUAUCAUGUGUUAAACAACCCCAGAUUUGUCUUUUUUGCACAACCCUCAUUUUAAUGUAUUUUGAACUAAAAAUUUACACACGUGUGUUAUGCCUUCAUGUAUAUCUGUAUUUUUUUUCUAGAAUUUUUGGAAAUGUAAGAAUAUGAAUUUCGAAGAAAUUUCAAAUUUGAAUUUGGAGGCCUCACUGGAGCCCGAGCUCCAAAAGGGAUUUCCGCUAGCCACAACUUCUAGAAACCAGUUCUACCAAAAAGAUCCUUUCCAUGAGAACAAAAACGUACCCAAUAUUGAUAGCUAUCCAUUUUUGUCACCAUCAACACACAUAUCUUAAUUCCUUCUUGUAUAAGCUUUUCAAUACAUCUUGGUACCUGAAUAUAAAUGCAUGCACAUGUGCACCAAUGAAAUAUAAAUAAUUAAUAUUUAGUAGCCUGCAUUUGAAUGAAAUGAAGUAGAUCAGAAAACAUAACCUUCUCAUAAAAGCAUGCCAAUUUCUAGAGCUUGUCUUAGUAGUACCAAAAGAAAGUCAUGCUCAAUACUGUCAGAAACCUGCUAAAUAUUUUUCAUCUCUGUCGGCAUUUCUAGGUGGUUUGACAGUCCAACUAAAAAAAAUAGUUUGACAGUGUAGAAGUAUUCACCAAAGUUCACAUACUCUUUCUCAUCCGAGACACAUACAAGAACUAAUUUUCUUAGACCAGAAUCAAAAACUCAUUUAUGUUCCUUUUAGUCUCUUCCUCAAAUUAUCUUCCAGGUGGUACAAAUGGAGAAAAAAGACUUUCAAUUAGUCUCUUCCUCAGGUUCUCUUCCAGCUGCUGCGCACGGAGAAGACAGAUAAGGAGGCAUGGGCGGUACAGAAGUUUCGGAUCAUAGAGGACAGUUGAAUCAUCUGGCCAAAGAUACCACCGGCUAACCGUUUCUUCAAACAUCUUUAGGACAUAUUUGAACAUCCCAAAAUAAGAACAACAUAUAAAUAUUUUCAGAUAGAUGGUGGGUCAACUGCAUUUUGCAUCACCUAAAUAUCAUGGGCAAAGUGACUAAGAACAGAGGUAGUGGAAGGGGAUUUGUAUUACCAAAGUCUCUAUUAAAUUUUGCAGCAGCUUAUCCAAUCAUUGUUUGACUCGUAUGAAAUCACACCAAGUUUUGCAUUCCAAAAAAACAUAUAGUGAACAUGAACCUGAAGAAUCAAAAUAUAUGCCUAGCUAGGCACUCCAUUGAUACAUGUGAGUCGUCAGGUAGCAGAGGCAUGUGGCUGUUGUUCUUCUGCAUCGUCGCGUCAGCCUAACCUUAUUUCUGCUCCAGAUCUCCAGUACGUGUGUACAUGCUCGCCAAGGAGGUCGAAAUUCCCCAUCCCGGGGAGGGCGAGGCAGCGGACUCCUGCAUGUCAGGGUCAAAGUCAGUGAACACGUCAAAAUCAAAAUGAGAGUAAUGGAAGGAGGAAUUGCGUGGGUUUUGGGUGUUGAACAUCGCCUGAUUCAGAACUUUGACGUGUUCACAAAAAUUGAUUUGCCCAGGCUAGGAUGGAGUGACCGAGGAUGAGUCGACCACAAAAAUUGAACGCCCGAGCAACUAAGAUCGGGGAUGCGGUCAUCAGGGUCGUCUGCAUAUCAACACUCCCUGGAACAAAGCUAUCAGUUGCAAUGCACUUUAUGGGGAACUCAGUUAGAACAAUACGUGAAGUAUUUUUGCCACACAUGAUGUGCCUUCCUAUAGAGUUGCCCGUAACAAAGCACUUCCAGGGAUCAGGAGACCCAGCCAUGGGGGGAAACGAGGAGAAGGUCGGGGUGAGCUCCUCCAUGGAUCCGGUAUCGACCACCGUGGCCACCUCGCUGGUGUUGUCGGUGGUGGCCGGGAAUGCAGUGUCGGUUCUGGCCAUGGCCGGAUCCGAGGAGCACAACAAUGGGAGAUUGGGGAGGGAGAAGAACGGCGAUGGUGGAGGCCCCCCUCCGUCGAUCUAGUAACAUCGACAGAUCCAUCCAGGAGAUCGAUGGAGGUUGAGAGACGGUGACGUGGAGGUGAGGGCUGGCCGGUGGCGAUGGAGAGGAGGGCGUCAGUGGC
rnacentral:lncRNA from 1 species